UGGCGAAGGCGGCUGUCUGGUCUGUAACUGACGCUGAGCUCGAAAGUAUGGGUAGCAAACAGGAUUAGAUACCCUGGUAGUCCAUACGUAAACGAUGAAUGCUAAGUGUUGGAGGGUUCCGCCUUUCAGUGCUGCAGCUAACGCAUUAAGCAUUCCGCUGGGGAGUACGGCCGCAAGGCUGAAACUCAAAGGAAUUGACGGGGGCCCGCACAAGCGGUGGAGCAUGUGGUUUAAUUCGAAGCUACGCGAAGAACCUUACCAGGUCUUGACAUACUAUGCAAAUCUAAGAGAUUAGACGUUCCCUUCGGGGACAUGGAUACAGGUGGUGCAUGGUUGUCGUCAGCUCGUGUCGUGAGAUGUUGGGUUAAGUCCCGCAACGAGCGCAACCCUUAUUAUCAGUUGCCAGCAUUAAGUUGGGCACUCUGGUGAGACUGCCGGUGACAAACCGGAGGAAGGUGGGGAUGACGUCAAAUCAUCAUGCCCCUUAUGACCUGGGCUACACACGUACUACAAUGGAUGGUACAACGAGUUGCGAACUCGCGAGAGUAAGCUAAUCUCUUAAAGCCAUUCUCAGUUCGGAUUGUAGGCUGCAACUCGCCUACAUGAAGUCGGAAUCGCUAGUAAUCGCGGAUCAGCAUGCCGCGGUGAAUACGUUCCCGGGCCUUGUACACACCGCCCGUCACACCAUGAGAGUUUGUAACACCCAAAGUCGGUGGGGUAACCUUUAGGAACCAGCCGCCUAAGGUGGGACAGAUGAUUAGGGUGAAGUCGUAACAAGGUAACCA
rnacentral:rRNA from 1 species